UUAAAAGUAGUUUUUUGGGAUUCACCUCCUCUCCAGUCCUUUACAAUCCGGCACUCUCUAGCCAUAUCUACCAAAUAGAGACGCGUGACGACAACAGAUCCGACGAGUGAGAAGGGAGCCAUAUCUUUGAAGCUCAAGAGACAAACAAAAUGACGCUAAUUUUUGUCAUUUUGGCCAAAUAGAGUGGCACCAGUUGGACUUUCAUACUCUAUUCGAGGAUUAUAUUAUUUCAUUUUCAGUAGGAGUAACAUGUCAAUGGCUUACACCUCCAUUAGUUUAAGCAACAAUGUUCGCCUUUUCGAAAAUCGAAGUUGCAAAUGUGGGGAGGAAUGAAGAUGAGAGGAGGAAUGAUUCUAAAAGAAACAAGGAAGCUUUGGAUAAAUUGGAGCAAAGAUUAGAGCUGCUUGAGGCAAACCAAGGAGCAAUGAAAUUGCUUUCAAUGACAAGCAUAGUGUGUGCUGGUUUUAACAUGCUAAUGGUGUUAAUUUGUUUAAUGUUCAAGUGAAUGUUGUAAACUUAUACAUUUGGUUUUGGAAUGGACGGAUGGUUUUAUAGAAUGGUUGACGAAUGAAUGAACGAACCACUGUUAU